AGGAGCAAAACACAACGGCAAAUCAGAAAAAACACAACGCAAAAAGAGAAAAAAAAACUACCUACGUUCUUCGAUUUUUGCUUAACGUUGUCGUGUUUUCUGAUUUGCUGUUGUGUUUUGCACCU